rnacentral:rRNA from 1 species
AGUGAACGCUGGCGGUAGGCCUAACACAUGCAAGUCGAACGGCAGCACAGAGGAGCUUGCUCCUUGGGUGGCGAGCGGCGGACGGGUGAGGAAUACAUCGGAAUCUACUCUGUCGUGGGGGAUAACGUAGGGAAACUUACGCUAAUACCGCAUACGACCUACGGGUGAAAGCAGGGGACCUUCGGGCCUUGCGCGAUUGAAUGAGCCGAUGUGGGAUUAGCUAGUUGGCGGGGUAAAGGACCACCAAGGCGACGAUCCGUAGAUGGUCUGAGGGGAUGAUCAGCCACACUGGAACUGAGACACGGUCCAGACUCCUACGGGAGGCAGCAGUGGGGAAUAUUGGACCAUGGGCGCAAGCCUGAUCCAGCCAUACCGCGUGGGUGAAGAAGGCCUUCGGGUUGUAAAGCCCUUUUGUUGGGAAAGAAAUCCAGCUGGCUAAUACCCGGUUGGGAUGACGGUACCCAAAGAAUAAGCACCGGCUAACUUCGUGCCAGCCGCCGCCGUAA